AAGUAGCAAUACUUAGUGGCAGACGGGUGAGUAACAUGUGGGUAUCUUCCCUUUGGUGAGGAAUAACACGAGGAAACUUGUGCUAAUACCUCAUAAGUCUUUACGGAGAAAGCUUUAUGCGCCAAUGGAUGAGCCCGCACUUGAUUAGUUUGUUGGUGGGGUAAUGGCCUACCAAGACUUUGAUCAAUAGCUGAUCUGAGAGGAUGAUCAGCCACAUUGGGACUGAGACACGGCCCAAACUCCUACGGGAGGCAGCAGUAGGGAAUAUUGCACAAUGGAGGAAACUCUGAUGCAGCGAUGCCGCGUGAGUGAAGAAGGCCUUUGGGUUGUAAAGCUCUUUCGUCGGGGAAGAAAAUGACGGUACCCGAAUAAGAAGGUCCGGCUAACUUCGUGCCAGCAGCCGCGGUAAUACGAAGGGACCUAGCGUAGUUCGGAAUUACUGGGCUUAAAGAGUUCGUAGGUGGUUAAAAAAGUUGGUUGUGAAAUCCCGAAGCUUAACUUCGGAACUGCAAUCAAAACUUUUUAGCUAGAGUAUGAUAGAGGAAAGCAGAAUUUCUAGUGUAGAGGUGAAAUUCGUAGAUAUUAGAAAGAAUACCAAUUGCGAAGGCAGCUUUCUGGAUCAUUACUGACGCUGAGGAACGAAAGCAUGGGUAGCGAAGAGGAUUAGAUACCCUCGUAGUCCAUGCCGUAAACGAUGUGUGUUAGACGUUGGAAAUUUAUUUUCAGUGUCGCAGCGAAAGCAGUAAACACACCGCCUGGGGAGUACGACCGCAAGGUUAAAACUCAAAUGAAUUGACGGGGACCCGCACA
rnacentral:rRNA from 1 species